CCUACGUGAGGCAGCAGUGGGGAAUAUUGCGCAAUGGGCGAAAGCCUGACGCAGCGACGCCGCGUGAGGGAUGAAGGUCUUCGGAUCGUAAACCUCUGUCAGCAGGGAAGAACGGUCACUGUGCUAAUCAGCAGUGAAUUGACGGUACCUGCAAAGGAAGCACCGGCUAACUCCGUGCCAGCAGCCGCGGUAAUACGGAGGGUGCGAGCGUUAAUCGGAAUUACUGGGCGUAAAGCGCUCGUAGGCGGUAUGUCAAGUCAAGGGUGAAAUCCCCGCGCUCAACGUGGGAACUGCCUUUGAAACUGGCAAACUGGAGUGUGUGAGAGGAUAGUGGAAGUCCAGGUGUAGGAGUGAAAUCCGUAGAUAUCUGGAGGAACAUCAGUGGCGAAGGCGACUAUCUGGCACAUAACUGACGCUGAGGAGCGAAAGCGUGGGUAGCAAACAGGAUUAGAUACCCUAGUAGUC
rnacentral:rRNA from 1 species